rnacentral:lncRNA from 1 species
CACUACUGAUUUACCCAAUCUUUUGUUGAAUGGUAUUGGUUGUUUAUAUGUUUUUUAAAUUACAAUGCUCCAAAUUCGUUUAAGAAUUUAUAAUUACAAUGCUCAAUUAUUAGCUAUUAUUGAUUAUUGUAUGUAACUUUACUUACAUAUUGGUAAAUACGGUUCAGUUCUUUAGCUAUUUAAUAAGAUUUGAAUCUUUGAGUGAGAGUGGGGUUAGGGGUUAGUAUACUGGAAUUGUAAACCUUUCAGCGGAUUCAAUCUCUUGAUCUUCAGUUGAAAGUGCAACUUCUCAUCUAAUGUGCAUUAUUAAGGUAAAGUAAAU